ensembl:ncRNA F32A6.8 ncRNA
CAAGCGAUUAAGAUUGAGAAAGAAGAAUCGAAAUGUGGUCUUUCAGAACAGAAAGGGUGGUCAAUGUAGAAAAAAAGGUAUUUGAAUGAUUUAUUCGAACGAGUACGGACCAACAAACUCCUCUGUUUGUUCGUUGCACGGCCGCUCU